ACGAACGGGUAAUGCUGUAGUACGGCGAGUGAAGCGGCAAAAGCUCAAAUUUGAAAUCUGGUACCUUCGGUGCCCGAGUUGUAAUUUGGAGAGGGCAACUUUGGGGCCGUUCCUUGUCUAUGUUCCUUGGAACAGGACGUCAUAGAGGGUGAGAAUCCCGUGUGGCGAGGAGUGCGGUUCUUUGUAAAGUGCCUUCGAAGAGUCGAGUUGUUUGGGAAUGCAGCUCUAAGUGGGUGGUAAAUUCCAUCUAAAGCUAAAUAUUGGCGAGAGACCGAUAGCGAACAAGUACAGUGAUGGAAAGAUGAAAAGAACUUUGAAAAGAGAGUGAAAAAGUACGUGAAAUUGUUGAAAGGGAAGGGCAUUUGAUCAGACAUGGUGUUUUGUGCCCUCUGCUCCUUGUGGGUAGGGGAAUCUCGCAUUUCACUGGGCCAGCAUCAGUUUUGGUGGCAGGAUAAAUCCAUAGGAAUGUAGCUUGCCUCGGUAAGUAUUAUAGCCUGUGGGAAUACUGCCAGCUGGGACUGAGGACUGCGACGUAAGUCAAGGAUGCUGGCAUAAUGGUUAUAUGCCGCCCGUCUUGAAACCACGGACCA
rnacentral:rRNA from 1 species